AGUGAACGCUAGCGGUAGGCCUAACACAUGCAAGUCGAACGGCAGCACAGGAGAGCUUGCUCUCUGGGUGGCGAGUGGCGGACGGGUGAGGAAUACAUCGGAAUCUACUCUGUCGUGGGGGAUAACGUAGGGAAACUUACGCUAAUACCGCAUACGACCUACGGGGGAAAGCAGGGGAGCUUCGGACCUUGCGCGAUUGAAUGAGCCGAUGUCGGAUUAGCUAGUUGGCGGGGUAAAGGCCCACCAAGGCGACGAUCCGUAGCUGGUCUGAGAGGAUGAUCAGCCACACUGGAACUGAGACACGGUCCAGACUCCUACGGGAGGCAGCAGUGGGGAAUAUUGGACAAUGGGCGCAAGCCUGAUCCAGCCAUACCGCGUGGGUGAAGAAGGCCUUCGGGUUGUAAAGCCCUUUUGUUGGGAAAGAAAUCCAGCUGGCUAAUACCCGGUUGGGAUGACGGUACCCAAAGAAUAAGCACCGGCUAACUUCGUGCCAGCCGCCGCGGUAA
rnacentral:rRNA from 1 species